ACCCCCUGGCAGUGGGCAAAACAACUCCUUUUGGUGAUUGUGUUCUUCUAUCAGUCAGGGGCAGAGCAGAUGGCAGUCCUUUGUUCAUCCUAGCUUGAUGCCUGGCUCAGUGGCCAAAGCUGUCCUAUGCCUAGGACUCAUAA